rnacentral:rRNA from 1 species
GACGAACGCUGGCGGCGUGCUUAACACAUGCAAGUCGAACGGAGUUACGUAUGAAGUAUUUCGGUACGGACUAUGUAACUUAGUGGCGAACGGGUGAGUAACACGUGGGCAACCUGCCCUUAACCGGGGGAUAACAUUGUGAAAACAGUGCUAAUACCGCAUAACAGAGUAUCGGGCAUCCGAUAUUUUAAAAGGAGCAAUCCGGUUUUGGAUGGGCCCGCGUCCAAUUAGCUAGUUGGUGAGGUAACGGCUCACCAAGGCUACGAUUGGUAGCCGAACUGAGAGGUUGAUCGGCCACAUUGGGACUGAGACACGGCCCAGACUCCUACGGGAGGCAGCAGUGGGGAAUAUUGGGCAAUGGGCGAAAGCCUGACCCAGCGACGCCGCGUGAAGGAUGAAGGUCUUCGGAUUGUAAACUUCUUUGAUCAGGGAAGAAAGAAAUGACGGUACCUGAAGAACAAGCCACGGCUAACUACGUG